UACGUAGGGUGCAAGCGUUGUCCGGAAUUAUUGGGCGUAAAGAGCUCGUAGGCGGUUUGUCGCGUCGGCUGUGAAAUCCCGAGGCUCAACCUCGGGCCUGCAGUCGAUACGGGCAAACUAGAGUGUGGUAGGGGAGACUGGAAUUCCUGGUGUAGCGGUGAAAUGCGCAGAUAUCAGGAGGAACACCGGCGGCGAAGGCGAGUCUCUGGACAUUUCCUGACGCUGAGGCACGAAAGCCAGGGGAGCAAACGGG
rnacentral:rRNA from 1 species